CGACGGUUGUCCAGGUUCAAGUGCGUAGGCUUAAGAGUUAGGUAAAUCCGGCUCUUUUUAAGGCUGAGACACGACGUCGAGCACCUACGGGUGUGAAGUCAUUGAUGCCAUGCUUCCAGGAAAAGCCUCUAAGCUUCAGAUUGUAAGGAAUCGUACCCCAAACCGACACAGGUGGUCGGGUAGAGAAUACCAAGGCGCUUGAGAGAACUCGGGUGAAGGAACUAGGCAAAAUGGUACCGUAACUUCGGGAGAAGGUACGCUCUCGACGGUGAAGUCCCUCGCGGAUGGAGCUAUUGAGAGUCGCAGAUACCAGGUGGCUGCAACUGUUUAUUAAAAACACAGCACUGUGCAAAAUCGUAAGAUGACGUAUACGGUGUGACGCCUGCCCGGUGCCGGAAGGUUAAUUGAUGGGGUUAGACUUCGGUCGAAGCUCUUGAUCGAAGCCCCGGUAAACGGCGGCCGUAACUAUAACGGUCCUAAGGU
rnacentral:rRNA from 1 species